AAACCAAACAAUGUCAUCCCGGAGCAACCCCCUCUAUCUCACAUUAACCAGAUCUAAAAAAAACCCUCUCAAAUAUGUAAUCUAUUAUUUUCAGAAGCCCUAAGAGAAAGGCAAAUAAUCUCUUCUCUAUAGUAACUGAGGGGAAAACAGUUUACCAUAUUUGUUCUGAAAUAACAAAACCCAAGGAGGAACAACUCUCUCUGAGAAAUCCAGUCCUUCCAUGAGACCUCGGUGCACACAGAACUCCUCCUACCACGUGCAACCUUAUUCUCGGCUGAGCAACUCAUAAAUCGCUUAACAAAAACGGUGAUUGAUGCGGACUGUGUUUAGUGCCAUCCUUGCCGCCCCAGAUCUCCAAAUACAGGAGAUGAGCACACGUGUCCAGGGCACCCCAGACCUCUUGGGCAGGGAGAACUCUCGGCAGAGAAGACCGGAUAUGGGAGUGUGGCGUGGGAAUCGUCUGUGAGUGCUAAAGAACCGCUCCUCCACCUGCCCCAAGCUUUCCAUUAGGCUCAAAAGCAGAGUUAGCCCAGUUAAGCGCAUGGAAACUAAAUGAGUUCGCUGCGCAUUGUUCAGCUAUACAUGACCACAGGCAAGAUAAAUAUUUAGGGUCUUUAUUAAAGCUGUGAUCCUCUGCUUUAGCAGGACAGUGUAGGGACUUACUAGAGGCAAACUAUAAAAAGCAUAUGCCUCCUAGUAAAGUAAUGCUGG